CUUUGCUCACGUGUUGCUUCUACUCGGAUCACCCUUAUCCACCAGCGCUUCCAGAUAUUGCAUUUUUUACAAAUUGAAGGCUUGUGGCAACCCGGCAUUGUCAAGCGAUUGUUAGCAGUUUUCAACAAUAAAGUAUUUUUAAAUUAAGCAGGGCUAAAACAAGACACUUGGGGAUGCCGGUGGCCACAACAUGAGGAGAGCAACCUGAGACAUGAGGCCGCAACCUGAGGAUGAAGCUAACGGAGGAGAGCAGAGCCAAGAAACUGACAUUCCAAAGAUAUUAAACACAUGGACCCAGCCUCAUAUCAACUACCAAUAAACCAAUAAACAUUUCAGUGGUGUGAGCCA